CAGCCAGAGUAACAGUGUAAAUUGACCAGCAUGCACUUUCUAUAAUACCGGUGACUUCUUAUGUGGCACAAGGGUUUUUGGGCCUCCUCAGACUCCUGGGCCCGGUAGCAACUGCUGCCUCUGCACCUCUUAUAGCUACGCCCUUG